rnacentral:ncRNA from 1 species
GUGCGCCUACAAGCGGUCGGAGUCCUGACUUUGUCAGGAUGACGGCGUGCCUUUUGCAUAAUGAGCCUACGAGUUACUCCUCACCGGCAAGGUUAAUCCUGUAAACAGGAGGAGCCGCAGCGAAAGCGAGUCUGAACAAGGCGCAAUAGUCGGUGGGGGUAGACGCGAAACUUAGUGAUCUACCCAUGGCCAGGUUGAAGCUCUGGUAAAACAGAGUGGAGGACCGAACCGAUAAGCGUUGAAAAGCUUCCGGAUGAGCUGUGGGUAGGGGUGAAAGGCCAAUCAAACUGAGAAAUAGCUCGUACUCCCCGAAAUGUUUUUAGGAACAGCGUCGGGAAUUGUAUGAUGGAGGUAGAGCUACCGAUAGGACUAGGGGGAGUCAAAUCCUACCAAAUCCUGACGAACUCCGAAUGCCAUUAUACAGAACCGGCAGUGAGGGCUUGGGUGCUAAGGUCCAAGUCCGAGAGGGAAAGAACCCAGACCUACCGCUAAGGUCCCAAAAUCCGCGCUAAGUUGAACAAAGGCGGUCCAGCUGCAGUGACAGCCAGGAGGUUAGCUUGGAAGCAGCUAUUCCUUUAAAGAGUGCGUAACAGCUCACUGGUCGAGCGGCAGGGCGUCGAUAAUAAUCGGGCAUCAAGUGCGGUACCGAAGCGAAGGAAAGUAUUUAUAUUUUGGUAGGGGAGCAUUCCAGCGACAGUGAAUCCAGAUGGUAAUGUCUGGUGGAGUUUCUGGAAAAGCAAAUGUAGGCAUAAGUAACGAUAAUGGAUGGGAACAACAUCCACACCGAAAGACCAAGGAUUCCUGAUCAACGCUAAUCGGAUCAGGGUCAGUCGGGACCUAAGGAUAACCCGAAGGGGGAUUCCGAUGGAAAAUGGGUUAAUAUUCCCAUACCGAACAUACAGGUAAUGGGGCGACGGAGUGUUGAAAGAUCCGCCCGGUGACGGAAUACCGGGUUAAAGGGUGUAGGUAUUUGGACUGUAGUAAAAUGCGCAGACUUAGCCGAACCUGAUAGUACCAAGCGUCUUCGGACAAUUGGAUAGUGGUCCUAAAAGCUUCCAAGAAAAACCUCUAGCGUUAAGCGUAUGUUCGCCCGUACCGCAAACCGACACAGGUGGUUGGGGAGAGUAUCCCAAGGUGCUCGAGUGAAUCAUGGCUAAGGAACUCGGCAAAAUGGCCCUGUAACUUCGGGAGAAGGAGCGCCUCC